rnacentral:telomerase_RNA from 1 species
GGUCCUCGUUGAUUGCAGCGGUACCGCUCUCGCAUCCGCCCCUGGUUCGCUGUUCAUAUCAGCGCUCACGAACCCUAAACCAACUACAUUUCGAGCUUCCCCACGCUCCACGAGAGAGGGGAGUGCUUCGACAGCCGACGGAGGACUUUCUGAGCGUUGUAUUACCUCCCAUUGUGUGAUGUAAAAAUGUCCCACAAUGAAUAAAAAAGAAUACUCGGCCCUGAGUGCGAGAGUGGUACCGUUAGAUUUAGAUCCGACGGUUGUCGAGGCGACCGCUGGUUCGACUGGCGAGAGCGGUUCGUCCGCGCUGCGCUCGACUCAUCCGGGAUCAUCCAAAAAGGACCUGCUACGUUUUUUUCU